CCUGCGGAACGGCGACGGGGCGCACUAUACCGCCCCUCCAGCCACAACACCUCCCAUACCAAGACUUCCGGAUCUUUUCUCAGCUGCGCGCUCCUCUACCCGUAUCCAAUCCACCGCCUCUGAUGCAGUCUAAUACCCCCCCCCCACGCACACACUUCACCCUUCCCCUCCCUUCGGUAAGGCAGCGAAGCAGACAAGACGCGCAUGGCAAAGCGCACGCGCCACGUUCUCCCCCCCCUCCCCCGAUUCGUUUCUUUUCGUUCUUACGCGCCCUGUCCCUUGCUCGCUUGCUUAUUGUUUUUUUUUUUCGUUGGCUGCUUCUCUGUGUUUCCGCCUCCCUGAUCCGCUCGCCCACGUGCGCCUGUGUGCCGGUGGCUGCGAACGCGUGUGUGCGUGCGCACGUGCACGUGAAUUGGAAACGUGAGGGGGGUGGUUCGAUGCAACUCACGUGACGAUCGCAAAUCGCUGCAGCGGCAAGGGCAGUCGCAUGCGCGCGCACACCCCCGCUGAAGGACGGGAAGGC
rnacentral:misc_RNA from 1 species